rnacentral:rRNA from 1 species
AAGGCCUCAGAUCAGACGUGGGGACCUGCUGAAUAUAAGCAUAUUACCAAGCGGAGGAAAAGAAACUAACCAGGAUUCCCUCAGUAGCAGCCAUCGAAGAGGGAAGAGCCCAGCGCUGAAUCCCAGUUCAGCGGCAGGCGUGGGAAAUGUGGCGUACAGAAGACCAACUCCCCGGCAUCGCUCAGGGGGUUAAGUCCUUCUGAUCGAGUCUCACCCUGCGUACGAUUUUAGGUCGGUAGCGGGCUCUGGGGCGCCGGGAUCAGGUCUUCCUGGAGUCAGGUUGCUUGGGAAUGCAUCCCAAAGCAUGUGGUAAACUCCAUGUAAGGCUAAAUACGGCAGCGAGACCGAUGGCUAACAAGUACCAUAAGGAAAAGUUGAAAAGAACUUUGAAGAAAGAGUUCAAGAGGGCGUGAAACUGUUGAGGUAAACUGGUGGGGUCUGUGCAGUCCGCCUGCAGGAUUCAACACAGCAGGCAGGUCGGUCACCUGGAACAGUGGAUGCCCUCGUGGCACUGCGGCCCAGGCAGACCCCAGCACCCGCAGGGCGCAUUUCCUCUGUGGCUGUGCACGGCGACCGGCUGGGAAGGCCCGGAGGGCAGGUGGCUCUCUGCUCCAGCAGCGAGUGGUGCAGCCCCCUGACAGCAGUUUUGAUGUGUCUGCAGGGCCGAGGGAAAUUGACCGCUGCCGUGCCCUUCUCCGUCAACCGUCCUGGCCCUCUUGGGGGUCGCCAGGGCAGCGACGGGAGACAGGGCUGCUGAUGCGACUGUGGUGGACAGCCCUCAGUGCGCCCAACCACAUCUUGUCGCUGGGCGGGGAGGCUCACAAAGGGCGCCAGGGGUCCGAGGGGAUGGCGGUUAACCACCCAACCUGUCUUGAAACACGGGCCAAGAAGUUUUAACACGUGCGCAAGUCGAAGGGCCGAAUGAAACCAUGUGGUGCAAAAAAGGUGAGGGCGGGUGCGUGCCGAUUGCAGUGGGAUCCCGUUGCGGUGGGCGCACCACUGACCCAUCUCGCCCGCUCUGUCAGGCAGAUGGAGCAUGAGUGUAUUAUAGGACCCGAAAGAUGGUGAAAUAGGCAUGGCGGAGGUUCGUAACGGUCCUGAUGUGUAAAUCGGUCAUCCGACCUUGGUAUAGGGGCGAAAAACUAAUUGAGGCAUCUAGCAGCUGGUUCCUUCCAGAGUUUCCCCUCAUGAUAGCUGGCAUAUGGAGACCCCAGUUUUAUCUGGUAAAGUGAAUGAUUAAAGGUCUUGAGGCCAAAAUGAUCUCAACCUAUUCUCAAAAUAUUAAAUGGGUAAGAAGCCCGGCUCGCUGGCGUGGAGCCGGGCAUUGAAUGCAAGUGCCCAGUGGGCAACUUUUGUUAAGCAGAACUGGCGCUGCGGGAUGAACCGAAUGCAGGAUUAAGGCGCCCAAUGCCGACGCUCAUCAGACCCCAGAAAAGGUGUUGGUUGAUAUAGACAGCAGAACGGUGGCCAUGGAAGUCGGAAUCUGCUAAGGAGCCCCGGGGAGGGCUCUCUUUUCUUUGUGAGGGCAGGGCACCCUGGAAUGGGUUUGCCCUGAGAGAGGGGCCGAGCCUUUGGAAAGCAUCUCGAUUCUGGCGGUGUGCAGUGAGCUUGUGCUGGUCCUUGAAAAUCCAGGGGAGAUGGUGUUAGUCUCGUGACGGCCCGUACUCAUAUCCACAGCAGGUCUCCAAGGUGAACAGCCUCGGGCAUGUUGGAAUAAUGUAGGUAAGGGAAGUCGGCAAGUCGGAUCCGUAACUUCAGGAUAAGUAUUGGCUCUAAGGGCUGGGUCGGUCGAGCUGUGGCGCGAAGCAUGGCUGGGUGCACAUUGCGGUGUAACAAAGCAUCUCACCCUUCCUCCCCUCGGGGGUCGGCAUUGACUCUGGAUGCAAGCCAGGCCCUGCCUGUGGAUCGCCCCAGCUGUGUUGGUCGCCUCUCUCUGUUUCACCCUACCUCCCCCCCCGGGGUUUGGGUCGACGUUCUGCCUCGGCCGACGCCUAGCAGCUGACUUAGAACUGAAUGUCAAUGUGAAGGAAUUCAAUGAAGUGCGGGUAAACGGCAGGUGUAAGUAGGACUCUGUUAAGGUAGCCAAAUGCCUCAGCCUCUAAUUAGUGACGCACACGAAUGGAUGAACAAGAUUUCCACUGCCCCUACCUACUAUCUAGCAAAACCACAUCCAAGGGAACAGACUUGGCAGAAUUAGCGAGAGAAAGAAGACCCAGUUGCGCAAGCUUCUAGUCUGGCACUGUGAAGAGACAUGAGAGGUGUAGGAUAAGUGGGAGGCCCUCGGUCCACCAGUGAAAUACUACUCUUAUUUUUUUUCACUUAACCUGUGAGGUGGCGCAAAGCGCCGCCGUGCGUGACCCGCUCCGGGGACAGGGGCAGGUGGGGAGUUUGACUGGGGCGGUACACCAGUCAAACGAUAAUGCAGGUGUCCUAAAGGGAGCUCCGGGAGGACAGAAACCUCCCGCGGAGUAGAAGGGAAAAAGCUUGCUUGUUCUCGAUUUUUCAAUAUGAAAACAGAUCCUUCUGACUUUUUGGCUUUCAAGCAGGGGGUGUCCGAAAAGUUACCACAGGGAUAACUGGCUUGUGGCAGCCAAGCGUUCAUAGCGACAUCGCUUUUUGAUCGUUCGAUAUCAGUGCUUCCUAUCAUUGUGAAGCAGAAUUCACCAAGUGUUGGAGGUGUCCGGUCAAAGGUUCGACUGCAAAGGGUCGAAUGACCUUUUGAUCGAAAACAAAAGAAUCGAAAAAAAGGUUUCAAAAUGUUUUAAUAAUUUUUUUAUUUAUAUAUUUUUUUAGUUUUGCAUGUAUAAAA